GGUUCUAUUGUGUAGUGGUUAGCACUCUGGACUUUGACUCCAGCAACCUGGGUUCGACUCCCGGGUAGGACCU